CGAACGGCAGCACAGGGAGCUUGCUCCCGGGUGGCGAGUGGCGCACGGGUGAGUAAUACAUCGGAACGUGUCCUGUUGUGGGGGAUAACUGCUCGAAAGGGUGGCUAAUACCGCAUGAGACCUGAGGGUGAAAGCGGGGGAUCGCAAGACCUCGCGCAAUUGGAGCGGCCGAUGCCCGAUUAGCUAGUUGGUGAGGUAAAGGCUCACCAAGGCGACGAUCGGUAGCUGGUCUGAGAGGACGACCAGCCACACUGGGACUGAGACACGGCCCAGACUCCUACGGGAGGCAGCAGUGGGGAAUUUUGGACAAUGGGGGCAACCCUGAUCCAGCCAUGCCGCGUGCAGGAUGAAGGCCUUCGGGUUGUAAACUGCUUUUGUCAGGGACGAAAAGGAUCGUGAUAAUACCAUGGUCUGCUGACGGUACCUGAAGAAUAAGCACCGGCUAACUACGUGCCAGCAGCCGCGGUAAUACGUAGGGUGCAAGCGUUAAUCGGAAUUACUGGGCGUAAAGCGUGCGCAGGCGGUUCUGUAAGACAGAUGUGAAAUCCCCGGGCUCAACCUGGGAAUUGCAUUUGUGACUGCAGGACUAGAGUUCAUCAGAGGGGGGUGGAAUUCCAAGUGUAGCAGUGAAAUGCGUAGAUAUUUGGAAGAACACCAAUGGCGAAGGCAGCCCCCUGGGAUGCGACUGACGCUCAUGCACGAAAGCGUGGGGA
rnacentral:rRNA from 1 species